rnacentral:rRNA from 1 species
UACGUACCGGACGAACGUUAUUCGGAAUCACUGGGCUUAAAGAGUGCGUAGGCGGUCCUUCAGGUGGGGUGUGAAAGCCCACGGCUCAACCGUGGAAUUGCGCUCCAAACCGGAGGACUUGAGGGAGACAGGGGUAAGCGGAACUGAUGGUGGAGCGGUGAAAUGCGUUGAUAUCAUCAGGAACACCAGUGGCGAAGGCG